rnacentral:misc_RNA from 1 species
UUUCCGUAGGUGAACCUGAGGAAGGAUCAUUAUUGUAUAACCGAGGUGCGAGGGCUUUCGCUGACCCGAAAGGUCGUGCACGCCCGAGUGCCCUCACACACAUCCAUCUCACCCCUAUGUGCACCACCGCGUGGGUCCCCCUUUGGCUUGUUCGGAGGGGGGCUUCCGUUUUCACACAAACUUUGUAUGCAGUGUAGAAUGUAUUUUUUGUUUUUGCGAUCACGCAAUCAAUACAACUUUCAACAACGGAUCUCUUGGCUCUC